GCAGACACAUUCCAGCCAAUCAGCAGCAGACCCUCCCUCUUAGACCCUUCCACCUCCUGGACAGCUCACUAAGAAUGCAGCUUCACAAUGAAUGUAAAAUGGAUGCUGUCCAGGAGAUGGGAGGGUCUGGGAGGGAGGGUCUGCUGCUGAUUGGCUGGAAUGUGUCUG
rnacentral:miRNA from 1 species